ACCAGUGGACUGGGGUCCUUAACAUGUCCUAUUUCACUUUCUCUCUAGGAAGUCUGCGAUAGGGAUGUUACAAUUUGUGUAAUUUCUGGUGGCUUUAUUGUUACUGAUCUAGCACUGUGGAGCAGCUUUGUGGUGAUUCAACGUUGUCGGUAAUGUAAAUAUUUGGAGAAGCCUGACUUUAAGCGAGCUUGGAGUUCGUCUCAUGAAGAACAUUGGAGAAGUGUAAGCAAGCGGGAGCUUAUCUUUGCAGAUGUGGAGCUGACGAGCUCGGGCAGAGCCAACGGAUUCGAGCAAAGUUUCCGAAGUGAUGAACUGAUAUGUUGGUCGAUUCUUGUUUGUUUACACCAGUGAUGGUGAAUCGAUGAUGGGAGAGACGCAUACAUCAUCGGCACGAGUCGGAAAUAGAAAAAGGUCAGAUCAUAAGUUAGUAAAUUUCUGAUCAAGAAGCAUGAGAGAUAAUGUCAUAAUCUUAAACUAAUAUGAUUAAUGUAUAGAUGUAAACAAAUAAAUUAAUGAAAAUAUGUCGAUGAUGUAUUCAUGGUGUCGUUCAUAGUAUAGGGCUAAAUCAUGAUGUAGUUAGAGAUAUUAAUUAUAGUUGUUU
rnacentral:lncRNA from 1 species